rnacentral:rRNA from 1 species
GAUGAACGCUGGCGGCGUGCCUAAUACAUGCAAGUCGAGCGAACAGACGAGGAGCUUGCUCCUCUGACGUUAGCGGCGGACGGGUGAGUAACACGUGGAUAACCUACCUAUAAGACUGGGAUAACUUCGGGAAACCGGAGCUAAUACCGGAUAAUAUAUUGAACCGCAUGGUUCAAUAGUGAAAGACGGUUUUGCUGUCACUUAUAGAUGGAUCCGCGCCGCAUUAGCUAGUUGUUAAGUUAACGGCUUACCAAGGCAACGAUGCGUAGCCGACCUGAGAGGGUGAUCGGCCACACUGGAACUGAGACACGGUCCAGACUCCUACGGGAGGCAGCAGUAGGGAAUCUUCCGCAAUGGGCGAAAGCCUGACGGAGCAACGCCGCGUGAGUGAUGAAGGUCUUCGGAUCGUAAAACUCUGUUAUUAGGGAAGAACAAAUGUGUAAGUAACUAUGCACGUCUUGACGGUACCUAAUCAGAAAGCCACGGCUAACUACGUG